rnacentral:rRNA from 1 species
UACGAAGGUGGCUAGCGUUGCUCGGAAUCACUGGGCGUAAAGCGCACGUAGGCGGCGUCUUAAGUCAGGGGUGAAAUCCUGGAGCUCAACUCCAGAACUGCCUUUGAUACUGAGAUGCUUGAGUCCGGGAGAGGUGAGUGGAACUGCGAGUGUAGAGGUGAAAUUCGUAGAUAUUCGCAAGAACACCAGUGGCGAAGGCGGCUCACUGGCCCGGUACUGACGCUGAGGUGCGAAAGCGUGGGGAGCAAACAGG